GGGGGCGCGUGGAUUCGACAGGGAAGGUUAGUUGCGGAAUUGCAAGCUGAGGAUGUCACUACCCUCAUUAAUCACGUGACAAAAAUUAACUGCCGAUGAUGCAGUUUUAGUUGCUGCCUAAUUAACAGGUAGCACAUCCAACCCGGCCUCACCUCGACGGGCCGGGAUUGGGUGACGUUAAGUUGGGGUGCCGCUUCUCCGACGUCGAUAAGAGCGGCGAAAGAAAUAUCGACUGGCCUGGUUGAACUCCGUCGGUUGAGGUCCACCAGGUAAGAUUAAAUUAGCUGACUAAGCUUGUAGCAGAUUCCGGGCAAUUUUUCUUGGACGGGGAGUUCGACUCUCCCCCGCCUCCACCA
rnacentral:tmRNA from 1 species